rnacentral:lncRNA from 1 species
GACUGGGUGAAGAAGCAGAGGGUCGCUAACGCCUUAAUGCAGAGAUUCCUGGGAACCAGGGGCAGGGAUGCCCCGAGCCUCCGCGGUGAGUUACAGCCCGGUGACUUUACAGAGCCCCUGAUGCGAGCCUAGUCACAGGAUUCUGCUUGCAGCAGAAUCUGAUGUGAGGGAGGCCAUGGUUCUCACCACCUGCUUACAGGAGCGAUAAGAGAGUUGGAAUGCAGGGGACAAGUUAGAUGCGUCAUGAAGGAUCAACCCUGGAAACCCAGAACGCGGGGUGUUCUGUGGGACACGAAAGGAACCGACGAGCGAGAAAUGCAGCCGGAUGGGAAGGGGAGGCCUCUGGGAGGCGCUGACAUUCGAGCUAAAACGGGGAGGGGGGCAUAUAGCAGAGGAAGAAGCAGCCAGUGCCAAGGUCCUGGGGCAGCCAGGGUGCUGCGUGUUUGGGAAAUACCAGAAAUUCCCACCAGGGCACAUAGGAAGUGGAGUCGAGGGGGUGGAGUGCAGAUGCAGAGACGGAGGCCGGGUGUGAGGAUUCUGGCCAGCUGCCUCGCCCAUGGGGCCCUGUGUGCCUCUGCAGGCGACCUUUUCUCCAGAGCAGAAACACGGUCAUCUGGGCAUAAGGAAGCAGUGGACACGGAGGAGGCCUAACGCACUGCGUUUUGUCUCUGCUCAGAGGCACUCAGUCACCUUUGCCCUCUUUCUCUGUGGCCUCUAAUCAGGGUCACCUGAGGAGGCUCCGCGGACACACCCGGAAGUUGGGCCCCAGCGCCCCCUGGCGCCCGCGGCGCGGCCCAACACCAGCCGCCGCUGGGAUCCGAGCCAAGCGCUCACCGAGGUGGGCUGAGGACCGGCUCGCCCCGCGC